GGGGAGAUGGCCAAAGACUAGGCCCCACACGGGCGGGCACAAUACACACAUGCCUGCGCCUGGGGGGCGACCCACGGACGGGCCCAGAUAUGGAGGCCGCAGGGCACCUCCUUCCCAACGGGACAGGUGGAGGCAUACGGGCUGCGUGGACCAGGCCCUCGGGCCCGGACGUGCGGGAGCCCCCUCGGGCACACAUCAACCACAACACCACCCCAAGCUUACGGGGAGCCGCCCCCCGCACAGGCCGGGCCGAGACAAAAGAAGCCCCCUGGCCCAGACCGCACCAUGCCACACAGGGACCUCGCACACACAAUUGGGACCACCGGGACCCCGCUUCCCCCCCCUCCCCUCCGUCCCCCGCGCCCCCUCCCCGGCUCAGAUCAAAUUGCGAAUUCGCAGGCAGGUCGCGGACGUACUCUGUCACUUCUGCAGACACCUCCCCCACUGGCCUCGGCCACCCUGGAUCUUGCCAAAAGAGCCCCAGGACAACAUACCGAGACCCCCGCCACUUCUACGACUGGCCAGGUUGAUAAGACCAGUCUUCAACCAUCCAACUCCCUCUGAGACCCUUUGACGGGCCCACGCAGGCAGGGCCCCAUACCACCCC